UAAGUGUCGGUUUUAAGAAACGUCGUACUCUUGUAAACAGGUUGGUCAACGCAUUGCAGGGAGAUCGUAUAGGCGCAAGUAUACGGGUAUGGCUGUUCGUGCUAAAUACCAUGGAAGUUUGAGCAACGAUGUAUAUAGGGGGAUAAGCGCAGCAAGAUGUUUCCUACGAGCAAGUUAAUGAAGCCAGUGACGUGAUUAAGCCAACCGACCGUGUGGAACGAUUAACUCGAAUAAAAGCACGAUUCUGACAGAUUGCGGCCAAUCUACUCGAAAAGUAUGUAUAUAGUACCUCGCCCCCAGAAAGAAUGUGCGCACAUGUCACGCGGUGCCAAGUCCGUUAGUUACAAGU
rnacentral:misc_RNA from 1 species